UGGGGAAUAUUGCACAAUGGAGGGAACUCUGAUGCAGCAACGCCGCGUGCGGGAUGACGGCCUUCGGGUUGUAAACCGCUUUCAGCCAUGACGAAGCUUUUGUGACGGUAGUGGUAGAAGAAGCACCGGCUAACUACGUGCCAGCAGCCGCGGUGAUACGUAGGGUGCGAGCGUUGUCCGGAAUUAUUGGGCGUAAAGAGCUUGUAGGCGGUUUGUCGCGUCGAUAGUGUAAACACGCAGCUUAACUGUGUGCCUGCUGUCGAUACGGGCUGACUAGAGGAGGGUAGGGGAGAAUGGAAUUCCCGGUGGAGCGGUGGAAUGCGCAGAUAUCGGGAGGAACACCAGUGGCGAAGGCGGUUCUCUGGACCUUUCCUGACGCUGAGAAGCGAAAGCGUGGGUAGCAAACAGGC
rnacentral:rRNA from 1 species